ACUCUUUUUGACAGCACAUAUUCUAAAAUUGGGACAAUACAGAGAAGAUCAGUGUGACUUCUGCAUAAAGAUGACAUGCAAAUCUGUGAAACAUGUAUUUUUUAU